AGAGAAUAGAUACCCAGGUAGUCCACGCCGUAAACGAUGGAUGCUAGCUGUUAUCAGUAUCGACCCUGGUAGUAGCGAAGCUAACGCGUUAAGCAUCCCGCCUGUGGAGUACGAGCGCAAGCUUAAAACAUAAAGGAAUUGACGGGACCCGCACAAGCGGUGGAGCGUGUUGUUUAAUUCGAUGGUAAGCGAAGAACCUUACCCAGGCUUGACAUCCUGCCAAUUUCUCCGAAAGGAGAGAGUGCCUUCGGGCCGCAGUGACAGGUGAUGCAUGGCCGUCGUCAGCUCGUGUCGUGAGAUGUUUGGUUAAGUCCAUCAACGAGCGCAACCCUUAUAGUUAGUUGUAUUUUCUAGCUAGACUG
rnacentral:rRNA from 1 species